CGCGCAUUCGCCCUUAGAGUUUGAUCCUGGCUCAGGAUGAACGCUAGCUACAGGCUUAACACAUGCAAGUCGAGGGGCAGCGGGAUUGAAGCUUGCUUCAAUUGCCGGCGACCGGCGCACGGGUGAGUAACGCGUAUCCAACCUUCCGUACACUCAGGGAUAGCCUUUCGAAAGAAAGAUUAAUACCUGAUGGUAUGAUGAGAUUGCAUGAUAGCAUCAUUAAAGAUUUAUCGGUGUACGAUGGGGAUGCGUUCCAUUAGGUAGUAGGCGGGGUAACGGCCCACCUAGCCAACGAUGGAUAGGGGUUCUGAGAGGAAGGUCCCCCACAUUGGAACUGAGACACGGUCCAAACUCCUACGGGAGGCAGCAGUGAGGAAUAUUGGUCAAUGGACGAGAGUCUGAACCAGCCAAGUAGCGUGAAGGAUGAAGGUCCUACGGAUUGUAAACUUCUUUUAUAAGGGAAUAAACCCUCCCACGUGUGGGAGCUUGUAUGUACCUUAUGAAUAAGCAUCGGCUAACUCCGUGCCAGCAGCCGCGGUAAUACGGAGGAUGCGAGCGUUAUCCGGAUUUAUUGGGUUUAAAGGGAGCGCAGACGGGUCGUUAAGUCAGCUGUGAAAGUUUGGGGCUCAACCUUAAAAUUGCAGUUGAUACUGGCGUCCUUGAGUGCGGUUGAGGUGUGCGGAAUUCGUGGUGUAGCGGUGAAAUGCUUAGAUAUCACGAAGAACUCCGAUUGCGAAGGCAGCACACUAAUCCGUAACUGACGUUCAUGCUCGAAAGUGUGGGUAUCAAACAGGAUUAGAUACCCUGGUAGUCCACACGGUAAACGAUGGAUACUCGCUGUUGGCGAUAUACUGUCAGCGGCUUAGCGAAAGCGUUAAGUAUCCCACCUGGGGAGUACGCCGGCAACGGUGAAACUCAAAUGAAUUGACGG
rnacentral:rRNA from 1 species